rnacentral:rRNA from 1 species
AGUGAACGCUGGCGGUAGGCCUAACACAUGCAAGUCGAACGGCAGCACAGUAAGAGCUUGCUCUUACGGGUGGCGAGUGGGGGACGGGUGAGGAAUACAUCGGAAUCUACUUUUUCGUGGGGGAUAACGUAGGGAAACUUACGCUAAUACCGCAUACGCCCUACGGGUGAAAGCAGGGGAUCUUCGGACCUUGCGCGAUUGAAUGAGCCGAUGUCGGAUUAGCUAGUUGGCGGGGUAAAGGCCCACCAAGGCGACGAUCCGUAGCUGGUCUGAGAGGAUGAUCAGCCACACUGGAACUGAGAACCGGUCCAGACCCUUACGGGAGGCAGCGGUGGGGAAUAUUGGCCAAUGGGCGCAAGCCUGAUCCAGCCAUACCGGGUGGGUGAAGAAGGCCUUCGGGUUGUAAAGACUUUUUGUUGGGAAAGAAAAGCAGCAGGUUAAUACCCCGCUGUUCUGACGGUACCCAAAGAGUAAGCACCGGCUAACUUCGU